CAAUAGCGUAUAUUAAAGUUGUUGCAGUUAAAAAGCUCGUAGUUGAAUUUCUGGCGGGCGCGCCGGUCUUCCAAGUGUUGUACUGGGCGCAGUCCGCCAUCCUUGUGGAGAGGGCUCGCAUUGAGUUGCGUGUCGGAUCUGCAUCAUUUACUGUGAAAAAAUUAGAGUGUUUAAAGCAGGCUGUCGCUUGGAUACAUUAGCAUGGAAUAAUAAGAUAGGACUUCGGUCUAUUUUGUUGGUUGCGAACCGAGGUAAUGAUUAAUAGGGAUAGUUGGGGGUAUUCAUAUUUAAUUGUCAGAGGUGAAAUUCUUGGAUUUAUGAAAGAUGAACAACUGCGAAAGCAUUCACCAAGGAUGUUUNCAUUAA
rnacentral:rRNA from 1 species